AAACUAGGAUUAGAUACCCUAUUAUUUUGUAUGUAAAAAGAUUUUACCUAGGUAAUAAUAGUUAUAUUCUUUAAACCUAAAGAAUUUGGCGGUGUUUUAAGUCUAUUCAGAGGAAUUUGUCCCUUAAUCGAUAAUCCUCGUUUUAUCUUACUUUAAUUUGAUUUAGAAUUUUUAAAUUCAGUUUGUAUACCGCCGUUAUAAGUUUAUUUUUUUAGAAAAAAAAUUUACUUUAUAUUUAUUAAAUAUUAUUUCAGGUCAAGGUGCAGCUUAUAUUUAAGUGGAGAUGAGUUACAAUAUUUUAUAAAAUAUUAUGGAUAUAAGGUUGAAAUGAUUAUUUUAUUGAAGGUGGAUUUGAUAGUAAUUUUAUUUAUAUUGGUUUUUUGAUUUUGGCUCUAGRAUAAGUACACAUCG
rnacentral:rRNA from 1 species